rnacentral:rRNA from 1 species
GGUUGCGAUCAUACCAUCACUAAUGCAUCGGAUCCCAUCAGAACUCUACAGUUAAGCAUGCUUGGGAGAGAGUAGUACUAGGAUGGGUGACCACCUGGGAAAUACUCGUGUUGCAACCCACU